rnacentral:rRNA from 1 species
CGAGUAACGCGAUCGAACGUACCCCGAGGUGGGGGAUAGCGUCGGGAAACUGGCGGUAAUACCCCAUGUGCUCUUUGGAGGAAAGCUCCGGCGCCUUGGGAGCGGCGAUCGUCCUAUCAGGUUGUUGGUGAGGUAACGGCUCACCAAGCCUUAGACGGGUAGCGGGUGUGAGAGCAGGCCCGCCGCAUCGGAACUGAGACACUGUCCGGACUCCUACGGGAGGCUGCAGUAACGAAUCUUCCGCAAUGCACGCAAGUGUGACGGAGCAAUGCCGCGUGUGGGAUGAAGCGGUUACGCCGUGUAAACCACUGUCAGGGUCUAGGAAGAACUGACCAGACCCAGAGGAAGGGCCGGCUAAUCUCGUGCCAGCAGCCGCGGUAAUACGAGAGGCCCGAGCGUUAGGCGGAAUCACUGGGCUUAAAGGGUGCGUAGGCGGAUUGGUAAGCAUCUCGUGAAAUGCCUCGGCUCAACCGAGGAAUUGCGGGGUGAACUGCUUGUCUUGAGGAAGGCAGAGGUUGUCGGAACGCUCGGUGGAGCGGUGAAAUGCGUAGAUAUCGAACGGAACGCCGAAGGGGUAGCCAGGCAACUGGGCCUUUCCUGACGCUGAGGCACGAAAGCGUGGGGAUCAAACAGGAUUAGAUACCCUGGUAGUCCACGCCGUAAACGAUGUGCACUAGCUCGAUGCGGAUCUGACUCCGUGUCGGGCGCCGAGAAAUCAUUAAGUGCACCGCCUGGGGAGUACGGUCGCAAGGCUAAAACUCAAAGGAAUUGACGGGGGCUCACACAAGCGGUGGAGCAUGUUGCUUAAUUCGAAGCAACGCGAAGAACCUUACCAGGGUUUGACAUGCACGGAUUAGUCAUUGGAAACAGUGAUGACGCUCUUCGAGUGGAACGUGCACAGGUGCUGCAUGGCUGUCGUCAGCUCGUGCUGUGAAGUGUCGGGUUAAGUCCCUUAACG